AGAUAAUUAAUUUAAUGAAUAAAAUAUUUAAUUUACACUUAAAAAACAAUGGUUUGAUUCCAUUAUUAUCUA
rnacentral:tRNA from 2 species